rnacentral:rRNA from 1 species
GAAUUCGCCCUUGGGACGAUAAUGACGGUACCUGGAGGAAGCCCCGGCUAACUACGUGCCAGCAGCCGCGGUAAUACGUAGGGGGCGAGCGUUGUCCGGAAUUAUUGGGCGUAAAGGGUUCGCAGGCGGUCUGAUAAGUCAGACGUGAAAGGCUAUGGCUUAACCAUAGUAAGCAUUUGAAACUGUCAGACUUGAGUUAAGGAGAGGAAAGUGGAAUUCCUAGUGUAGCGGUGAAAUGCGUAGAUAUUAGGAGGAAUACCAGUGGCGAAGGCGGCUUUCUGGACUUAUACUGACGCUGAGGAACGAAAGCGUGGGGAGCAAACAGGAUUAGAUACCCUGGUAGUCCACGCCGUAAACGAUGAGUGCUAGGUGUUGGGGGUC